CCUACGGGGAGCAGCAGUGGGGAAUAUUGGACAAUGGGCGAAAGCCUGAUCCAGCCAUGCCGCGUGUGUGAAGAAGGCCUUCGGGUUGUAAAGCACUUUCAGUGGGGAAGAAAGCCUUGGGGCUAAUACCCUCGAGGAAGGACAUCACCCACAGAAGAAGCACCGGCUAACUCCGUGCCAGCAGCCGCGGUAAUACGGAGGGUGCGAGCGUUAAUCGGAAUUACUGGGCGUAAAGCGCGCGUAGGCGGUCUGAUAAGCCGGUUGUGAAAGCCCCGGGCUCAACCUGGGAACGGCAUCCGGAACUGUCAGGCUAGAGUGCAGGAGAGGAGGGUAGAAUUCCCGGUGUAGCGGUGAAAUGCGUAGAGAUCGGGAGGAAUACCAGUGGCGAAGGCGGCCUUCUGGACUGACACUGACGCUGAGGUGCGAAAGCGUGGGUAGCAAACAGGAUUAGAUACCCGAGUAGUC
rnacentral:rRNA from 1 species